rnacentral:rRNA from 1 species
GUGGGGAAUUUUGGACAAUGGGCGCAAGCCUGAUCCAGCAAUGCCGCGUGCAGGAAGAAGGCCUUCGGGUUGUAAACUGCUUUUGUACGGAACGAAAAGGCUCUGGUUAAUACCUGGGGCUCAUGACGGUACCGUAAGAAUAAGCACCGGCUAACUACGUGCCAGCAGCCGCGGUAAUACGUAGGGUGCAAGCGUUAAUCGGAAUUACUGGGCGUAAAGCGUGCGCAGGCGGUUUUGUAAGACAGCCGUGAAAUCCCCGGGCUCAACCUGGGAAUGGCGUUUGUGACUGCAAAGCUGGAGUGCGGCAGAGGGGGAUGGAAUUCCGCGUGUAGCAGUGAAAUGCGUAGAUAUGCGGAGGAACACCGAUGGCGAAGGCAAUCCCCUGGGCCUGCACUGACGCUCAUGCACGAAAGCGUGGGGAGCAAACAGGAUUAGAAACCCCGGUAGUCC